UGACAGCUGUGUGACCUUGAGACUGUCCUUACCUCCUGUCUCCUUACUUGUUACACGGAAGUGAUAGUUUCCACCCAGCAUUGUCAUAGCUACAGUAGAAUGUCAUGUGACAGCUAGCACAGUGCUUGUCAUGGAGGUUGUCCAGUACAUGUCAGCCUUCUGUUUUCUGUGCUUGUGGUGGGAGGGAUACCUUCUCCUGUUGCCUUUUCCACUGUAAGCAUUCUCUUGUGCAUCUUCUGUUCCAGGCCAUUCCCCAGUAUGCUAUUCCCUGUCACUCCAGCUCCAACGUGGUGGUGGAGCCCAGCGGGCUUCUUGAAUUGAACAACUUCACCAGUCAGCAGCUAGACGACGAUGAGACAGCUAUGGAGCAAGAUGUAGACAGCAGCACGGAGGAUGGGACUGAGCCCAGCCCCUCUCAGAGCGCUGUAGAGCGGUCCUAGUGUGCAGAUGCCACCAGAGUGCACUUUAGAGCCUGCUUGGUUACCUACCACGUGUCCAGGGAAACUUACAAUUUGUUAUGGUAAAAGAAAAAAGCACUUUGCUCAUACUUAGGCUGGGGACCUAGAAACAGUGUUUCACUGAGAUGUUGCUGCAGGAGCAGCAUUUUAACAGGAUUAAACUCACAGAGGAAUGUACUUUAAAAAAAAAAAAUAGAAGAAAAAAAAAAGCAAAGGAAGAGAUGCACCCCGUGGAGGCCUGGUCUCUUGUUGGUGCUGGGCAGUGGACAGUUUGUCUGCACUGAAGAGACUUCCUGCGAGUGGCUCUCGGCUGCUUUCCACUGAGCAAAUGCCACCAGAGAACAUUAAGAGGAAAAGAAAGGAGACUGUGAAGAGUUUGUAUUUUUGAAAUGAUGUAUCUGAACAGUUUUUUAAAAAUCGUGUUUUGUUUUUGCAAAUCCCUGGAAAUGUUGAUUUGGCUAACAUUU
rnacentral:lncRNA from 1 species